AACGCUUCAUUAAAGAAGAACCCGUCCAGAGGACCUAUACAAUUUGUUUUCCUUUUCACACUUUCAUWGUUUACAYUGAAUUUAGUACAAUAAAUCACUUUUGUUUUUCAUUUAAAACAUCUGCAUCAGACUGGUAGAAUUUUGUUACCAAGGAAGUCAUGAGUACAAUUCUCUUCCUGAUACAUUUCAAAAACACCUCUWGAACUUACAGGAGCUAGUUUGACCCACAUAGUAAAUAAAAACGGUUUUUCUACAACUUUUAUUAAGUAUUCUACUUUUGUUUAGUUCACACAAUUGUUUUAUUAUCAAAGAAAGGUUUUAAUUGAAGAKAUACUGCUGUAGUCUAUAAUUGUUCUUUUUUUCUUUGACAUUUUCUUAGUUAGAAUAUGUCUCAACUUGAUUUUUCUGUACUCCAGUGUUUUAUAGUAGAUAUGAUUCAUGACACUGUUGUUAUUUGUCAGAGCUGAUUCAGAAAACUGGAGAAGUUUCUGCUCAUGGAUGUGAAGAACCAUGGAUUUAACCUUAUCACCAGUGACUUGUACAGUCAAAGAAGAACCUGAAGACCCUGAUGGAGAUGGUUCUGUCCAGAAGCUGCUUGUUGAGUCAAUCAACACUCCAGUUAAACCUCACUGCAGCGACCAGAGUGAAGAAUGUGUUGUAGCCUCAAGGGAUUUAGAAGUACAUAAACCCAAGCACACUGGUGAAAGAAAGUUCAUCUGUACCAAGUGUGACAAGAGAUUCAUCACUUCAACCAAUCUGAAGGUUCACCUUCAUGUCCACGCUGGAGAGAAGCCUUAUGCCUGUACCCAGUGUGAGAAGAGAUUCACCCAGGCAGUACAUCUGAAAACYCAUCAGCGUGUCCACUCUAGAUAAAAGCCCUUCUUUUGGUAGAUAUUCUGGUGGACUGAAAGAUUUGUUUUACUGUGGACUUGAAUGUCCAUCAGAAAUUUAAAAUAAAGCAUCUAAAAAUGUUA